rnacentral:ncRNA from 2 species
GUUACGCCACCUUACAACGGUCCCGCGCAAGCGGGUUUGAAAGGGAAUGCCGGAGGCUCCAGUACCAGGAACCCAGUCGGCAACUGCCCUCGCAACUGUAGGCGGAGAGCGUAUUACUCCUUGGCCGUAUAAAGCGGCAGCCACUGGUGGCAACAUCGGGAAGGCUGAGUAACGUGCCAUGACCCGCAAGUCAGGAGACCUGCCGUUGUUGUCUUGUUUAA